rnacentral:tRNA from 1 species
GGGCGGUUAGCUCAGCGGGAGAGCAUUCGCCUCACACGCGAAGGGUCGUCGGUUCAAUCCCGACACUGCCCACCA